rfam:Echinostoma caproni strain Egypt genome assembly, scaffold: ECPE_scaffold0019805
GCACUACUGAUGAAACCCAACCAGGUCGAAACAGCUGUCCAGUGC